AUCGGUCAGUGUUGUUGUGAAAAUAUGGCAGGUAAUUAAAGUUCGUGUUUUGAAGCCGAAGUUUAACGAUUGUCACCCGUUUGUCAACAAUCGACAAAAAAUCAACAAAAAAGCAUGGAAAUUGAGCACGUGCUUAACAUGUAAAUUUAGAUAAUAGUUUAUUUUAAGGACAUCCAUGCGUAUUGUGAUCACCGGAUUUUUACGAGAUGGGUCACACUGAGGUCACUUUGCAUACGGAAAAUAUGUCGGGGGAAUUGCUUCCUGGAAGGAAGGAAGCAAUUAGAAUAAAGUAAACUUCUUCUAAUUAGGAAUAAAUUAAAGAAUUUUC
rnacentral:lncRNA from 1 species